rnacentral:pre_miRNA from 7 species
UUCAUUCUUUCAGUGUUGAAACAAUCUCUACUGAACCAAGCUCCAAAGCGAGUUCACUGGAGUUUGUUUCAGUAUUGCAGGAGUGCUAAGUGUGAAGC